CAUAUCGCGCUGGAUUUCUGAUAAUAGCAAAUUUUCCUUUCCACACCCCGAAAGUUCGCUCAAUCACAUAACGCAAAGAAGAAUGACGUUUGUUAAACAUUUCAUUCUCAUUUGUAGGUUGUCCCCUUCUCCAUUGAUGCGGAUGAUAUCGAACUCGACGGUACGGAGCAAGAUAUCCCUUCCUAUUAGGGUAUCCUGAAUCAGUGAGAAAAUAUUUUCCUUCAGGAGU
rnacentral:lncRNA from 1 species